GACGUAGGGCGCGAGCGUUGUCCGGAUUUAUUGGGCGUAAAGAGCUCGUAGGCGGCUUGUUGCGUCGACCGUGAAAACCCGCGGCUUAACUGCGGGCUUGCGGUUGAUACGGGCGGGCUGGAGUUCGGUAGGGGAGACUGGAAUUCCUGGUGUAGCGGUGAAAUGCGCAGAUAUCAAGAGGAACACCUGCGGCGAAGGCGGGUUGCUGGGCUGACACUGACGCUGAAGCGCGAAAGCCAGGGGAGCGAACGGG
rnacentral:rRNA from 1 species